UACGAAGGGUGCAAACGUUGCUCGGAAUUAUUGGGCGUAAAGCGCACGUAGGCGGCUUGGCAAGUCGGAUGUGAAAUCCCUCGGCUCAACCAAGGAAGUGCAUCCGAAACUGCUAAGCUUGAGUACUUAAGAGGAUCGCGGAAUUCCCGGUGUAGAGGUGAAAUUCGUAGAUAUCGGGAGGAACACCAGUGGCGAAGGCGACUUCCUGGCCUGUUCUUGACGCUGAGGCGCGAAAGCUAGGGGAGCAAACGGG
rnacentral:rRNA from 1 species